CCCCCCCCCGCCAAUACUGCUUUAUACAGGGAAAAUUUCUUUCCCUUCCAUUUAGAAAACCAUGUUUAUGAGACAGGACCUUCUUAUAUCGCCCAAGCUAUGUGGCUAACUAAAGAUAAAACAAUCCGGCUGUUUGUAAUGUGGACUUGACUAAUCUGUAGGUACAACAUUUUAAGCACUUCUCAAUUCUAUACUUUUGUCAGCUGACAUUCUUGAUCAAAGUUUCAUAAAAUAGUUUCUCAUUUUUUUCAUAUUCUAUAGCAGGUCAUUGAAAGAGUCUAUGGGGAGUUCCUAUUUUUCCGGAUGGUGGACUCUGCCAUGAGUCUGAUUUCUUCAAAGCAUUUGCUCAUUGCGGAAAGUAGAAUUAUUAUAUUAUGAGGUAGCAAAGGAAGAAAAAUCCACUGUGAAAGUCCAUUUGGUACCUAGAUCCCAUUCCAUCACAUGAUUAAUUCCUCUUGGCUACCUCCAGCGGUUUGAACUGACAGCAGGGGUAAGUGAUUCUCGCUCCAAGGAGCUGGUUGUAUCACAUCUCCUUGAGAUUCUCCUUGUAUAGCAUCUCGGUUUAAAAAGCUGAUCUUGAAUCUUUGUGCAAUGAGAAUCUACUCGUGCCAAGUUCGUUUAAGAUUGCCAUUAAGCUAUACUAAUAAUGGUCCUCAGUUUCUUGCUGAAGAACAGUACUACAACAACAACAUACCCAGUAUUAUCCCACAUGAUGGGGUCUGGGGAGAGUAGUGUGUACGCAGACGGUACCCCUACUUUUGCUAAAGAACAAUCUAUAUUAAAAUAUAAAGUUGCAUUUGUAUCAGUUCUGGUUUGAGAAUGAAUGACAUAUAGGCACUUGAAAUGGAAACAGAAGCAGAUGGUCUCGUUCCAAAGAGCUCUCUAUGCUCAGCUAUCCCACCACUAUAUUAUCUUUGGUGAAUUCAAUUCAUAUACACUGACACUGUAAUCAAUUGACUCUGUGAGUAUAUUUUUGACUAAUUAUAGUAAGUUACUUGCCUUGUUCACUCCGAAUGAUCGAAGAAUACUU
rnacentral:lncRNA from 1 species